UACGUAGGGUGCGAGCGUUAAUCGGAAUUACUGGGCGUAAAGCGUGCGCAGGCGGUGAUGUAAGACAGGUGUGAAAUCCCCGGGCUUAACCUGGGAACUGCAUUUGUGACUGCAUCGCUGGAGUGCGGCAGAGGGGGAUGGAAUUCCGCGUGUAGCAGUGAAAUGCGUAGAUAUGCGGAGGAACACGAUGGCGAAGGCAAUCCCCUGGGCCUGCACUGACGCUCAUGCACGAAAGCGUGGGGAGCAAACAGG
rnacentral:rRNA from 1 species